AUGGGCACAUUUAUUUUAGUUGUCAGGAUGGUCUCAGAGGUCACAAAAAAAAAAAAAAGAGCAAGGAAAAAAAUCAUGUGCAAGAUGGCUUCUACAGAUAAUAAAAAAUUAAAUAUUUUGUCAUGCUUUUACAUGUUCCUAACUGCACUGGAACCUGAUCUUCUUGCUACAACUUUGGGCACAAAUAAAAUUUAGCAAAUGGAUAUAGACUGUACGUGCAAUGCAGGCAUAUGCUGACAUAUGACUCCCAUAUGUCAGUUCACAGCGAUUCUACAGCUCCUGAGCCUGUUUUGUUCUUUAAAUAGCUUACCACCCUUUUAACAUUUUGGACCAUUUUUCUAUUUUCAUUAUGGUUUUUCUUCCUUCCUUGAACGUCACAUUCAUUUAUAAGUGACUUGGAUCUGGCAGAAAGGACUGAGAGAAAGAAGGUAACCCCACCGGAGCAGUCCAACAUCUUUAGGAAAACUGUGUGGACUAUGAGUAUCCCGGCUUCCAGGAGCUCUGCACUCCCCCAUCACACACCCCAGGGAUGAUGAAGACCCAUCUGCCUCAGCUCAUCUCCCAGACCCUUCAUACACAUUUCACUGUGACCAGUGCUGUCACAAGUGGUAAGUGUUGCUGGGAAGACGUUCUGCCUCUCCUUGUGCCUGUUAAAGAAGGUGUCAGAAAGACUUACCUGAGGUGUUUGUCUUGCACUGCUGCUGUGGCUGCAGGGUGAAUCCACCAUUCCUCCCCCACAGCACCACCAUUGCAAGUUCCAGUGUCAGCAAGGAGCAGGAUCAGAAACAGUACACCGGUGUCUGUCACAGACAGCAGCAGUGAG
rnacentral:lncRNA from 1 species